rnacentral:rRNA from 1 species
AGUGAACGCUGGCGGUAGGCCUAACACAUGCAAGUCGAACGGCAGCACAGUAAGAGCUUGCUCUUACGGGUGGCGAGUGGCGGACGGGUGAGGAAUACAUCGGAAUCUACUUUUUCGUGGGGGAUAACGUAGGGAAACUUACGCUAAUACCGCAUACGACCUACGGGUGAAAGCAGGGGAUCUUCGGACCUUGCGCGAAUGAAUGAGCCGAUGUCGGAUUAGCUAGUUGGCGGGGUAAAGGCCGACCAAGGCGACGAUCCGUAGCUGGUCUGAGAGGAUGAGCAGCCACACUGGAACGGGGACACGGUCCGCACUCCUACGGGAGGCAGCAGUGGGGAAUAUUGGACGAUGGGCGCAGGCCUGAUGAAGCCAAACCGCGGGGGUGAAGAAGGCCUUCGGGUUGUAAAGCCCUUUUGUUGGGGAAGAAAGGAAGCAGGUUAAAACAGGGCUGUUCUGACGGUACCCAAAGAAUAAGCACCGGCUAACUUCGUG